UACGUAGGGCGCAAGCGUUGUCCGGAAUUAUUGGGCGUAAAGAGCUCGUAGGUGGUUUGUUACGUCUGCUGUGAAAACCUAGGGCUUAACCCUGGGCCUGCAGUGGAUACGGGCAGACUAGAGGUAGGUAGGGGAGAAUGGAAAUUCCCGGUGGUAGCGGUGAAAUGCGCAGAUAUCGGGAGGAACACCUGUGGCGAAAGCGGCUCACUGGACCACAACUGACGCUGAGGCGCGAAAGCUAGGGGAGCAAACAGG
rnacentral:rRNA from 1 species